rnacentral:lncRNA from 1 species
AUGGGAAUGGAUCAUAGCAUGUUGACAGUUCAUAGGAGCGCAUCUAUCUUUCUAUCAGCAACUCGAUAGAGGGCCGCCAUUCACAGUUGAAGUUGUGUUAUACCUGGUGGUGGUUCAGAACUGUUAAAUGAACGCAUAUGGAAUGCCUAUGCUAGACCGCAGGUAUAUGUUCCCCUUGAAGGGGAACACAUUUACUACUUCCCCAAGGACAUAUGUGGUGCUUUUCAAAAUGGCAAACUUGCAGAUAGCAUAAAACCCAUCUCUCAAAAUUAAUUCCAAGUCAUCUUGUA